ensembl:snRNA U4 U4 spliceosomal RNA
CUCUCUGCACAGUGGCACUAUCAUAGCCAAUGAGGUUUACCUGAGGCAUGAUGAUUGCUAAAUGAAAACUUCCCAAUGCCAUGUGCAAUAGAGUUGGCAUUGGCCAUUUCUUUCUCUUUUUUUUGCUCUGUCACCCACACUGGAG